rnacentral:rRNA from 1 species
CCUACGGGUGGCAGCAGUGGGGAAUAAUGCACAAUGGGGGAAACCCUGAUGUAGCGACGCCGCGUGAAGGAAGAAGGAUUUCGGGAUGUAAACUUCUAGGAGCAGGGAAGAAAAUGACAGUACAUGAAUAAGAAGCCCAGGCUAACUACGUGCCAGCAGCCGCGGUGAUACGUAGGGGGAAAGCGUUAGCCGGAUUUACUGGGGGUAAGGGGAGCGUAUGCGGUAAUGCAAGUCAGAAGUGAAAGCCCGGGGCUCAACUCCGGGACUGCUUUUGAAACUGGGUUGCUAGAUUGCAGGAGAGGUAAGUGGAAUUCCUAGUGUAGCGGUGAAAUGCGUAGAUAUUAGGAGGAACACCAGUGGCGAAGGCGGCUUACUGGACUGUAAAUGACGCUGAGGCUCGAAAGCGUGGGGAGCAAACAGGAUUAGAUACCCCAGUAGUC